UAUCCCGGCUCAUCGGGACUCGACCUCGCCCGGAUAUGCGAAUAACACGGACAAUGAAUCAAAUGACAUAUGUACAGUCUGCUCCCGAGUUACGCGGUUUUUGCGUUCCCGAGGAAUCCGCGUAACUCGAAUAUCAGCCACGGAUAAACGGACAGCCGGAUAAAAGGUACCCGUAUAAACGGCGCUACAUUGUACAACUUUACCUGAGUUACGCGACACUGGAGUUACGCGAAUUUUUAUUUUUGGCAGUUCAUAUGUCAAAUCAGUACAAUUUUAUCCUUCAAGUGUCGAAUGAAAAAUAAUUUGCAUUUUUUCCAAAA